ensembl:lncRNA novel transcript
GCCCCCGUGCCUCUCCGCAGGGGCUGCGCCGCGUCCCCGGGCCUCUCCCUCCGCCGUGGCCUGGUCUGCCUGCUCCAGGGCGCAGCUGCGCCCGCUUCAGCGCCUCCCGGGUCUGCGUGGCCUGCUCGGCUCAGAGGCCUCCACCACGGUCCGCUCCCUGCCGGACGCCGCGCUGCUGUGGCCGCGGUGGUUCUGUGGCUGUGAGGGCCGUUUCUGUCCGUCCACACCGCCUUCCCUCUGCAGAUUUCCUCUGCAGAGGCCCGGAGUUACCAGCAAGGUCUGACGCAGCAGAGUGCAGAAACGGCCUCCCUGUCUGUCAAAGUGGCCUCCCGAGGACACCCAGCGAGGCCACCAGAUCAUCACGUGGAGUAUCGGUGGCCUUAUUAAAACAAAAACAACAACUCCACAGCCCGGCGAGCGGUAUGUGUGCCCAAGUACAUAGGUGAUUAGAACAGAAAGGCCUGGGCUGGUCAUCCAAGCUCUUCCGGUGGCCACCUCCGAGGAAGGUGGGGGUGUGAAGGAAAUGACUAAGGACUUGGAGAGUUAAGACAAGCACGUGCUCCCAGGUGGUGGGCAUGGUGAGAGAAAGAACCAGGGGAGGUUUGGGGAGGGUUCAACCAAGUCAGAAUGGGGCAUGGUAGGCGGCUUCCAAAACGGCCCCAGUGACCCUGCGAUCCCACCCUUGGGGGCUCCCUGCCUUGUGUGUGGGCUGGGCCCAGUGACGGCCUCUGGUGGACAAGAUAUGGCAGGAGACAGGAGGUCGCUGUGUCUGUGUCACUUCCUACAGAGGCUUAACGCCUCCUUGUAUUUAGACGGCUAAUAUACUUGGUCUUAAUCCUUUUAUGCCUAGCAUUCCAAUAAUGGAAGGUUCCAAUAACGGAAUGUUCUAAUAAUGGAACGCUAGGCAUGUCGGAUUUAUAUCCUACUGCUCAAGGUGAUCACCAAUGUCUGAUUGCUACCUUAGGCAUAAAUGGUUUAAUUCUACCAUCUUAUUGACUUAUUUUUUAUGUUACUAUUUUCAACAUUUUAAUAAGAAUUUAAAAAUAUUCAGCAAAA